rnacentral:rRNA from 1 species
GGUUAAGCGACUAAGCGUACACGGUGGAUGCCCUGGCAGUCAGAGGCGAUGAAGGACGUGCUAAUCUGCGAUAAGCGUCGGUAAGGUGAUAUGAACCGUUAUAACCGGCGAUUUCCGAAUGGGGAAACCCAGUGUGUUUCGACACACUAUCAUUAACUGAAUCCAUAGGUUAAUGAGGCGAACCGGGGGAACUGAAACAUCUAAGUACCCCGAGGAAAAGAAAUCAACCGAGAUUCCCCCAGUAGCGGCGAGCGAACGGGGAGCAGCCCAGAGCCUGAAUCAGUGUGUGUGUUAGUGGAAGCGUCUGGAAAGGCGCGCGAUACAGGGUGACAGCCCCGUACACAAAAAUGCACAUGCUGUGAGCUCGAUGAGUAGGGCGGGACACGUGGUAUCCUGUCUGAAUAUGGGGGGACCAUCCUCCAAGGCUAAAUACUCCUGACUGACCGAUAGUGAACCAGUACCGUGAGGGAAAGGCGAAAAGAACCCCGGCGAGGGGAGUGAAAAAGAACCUGAAACCGUGUACGUACAAGCAGUGGGAGCACGCUUAGGCGUGUGACUGCGUACCUUUUGUAUAAUGGGUCAGCGACUUAUAUUCUGUAGCAAGGUUAACCGAAUAGGGGAGCCGAAGGGAAACCGAGUCUUAACUGGGCGUUAAGUUGCAGGGUAUAGACCCGAAACCCGGUGAUCUAGCCAUGGGCAGGUUGAAGGUUGGGUAACACUAACUGGAGGACCGAACCGACUAAUGUUGAAAAAUUAGCGGAUGACUUGUGGCUGGGGGUGAAAGGCCAAUCAAACCGGGAGAUAGCUGGUUCUCCCCGAAAGCUAUUUAGGUAGCGCCUCGUGAAUUCAUCUCCGGGGGUAGAGCACUGUUUCGGCAAGGGGGUCAUCCCGACUUACCAACCCGAUGCAAACUGCGAAUACCGGAGAAUGUUAUCACGGGAGACACACGGCGGGUGCUAACGUCCGUCGUGAAGAGGGAAACAACCCAGACCGCCAGCUAAGGUCCCAAAGUCAUGGUUAAGUGGGAAACGAUGUGGGAAGGCCCAGACAGCCAGGAUGUUGGCUUAGAAGCAGCCAUCAUUUAAAGAAAGCGUAAUAGCUCACUGGUCGAGUCGGCCUGCGCGGAAGAUGUAACGGGGCUAAACCAUGCACCGAAGCUGCGGCAGCGACGCUGAUGCGUUGUUGGGUAGGGGAGCGUUCUGUAAGCCUGCGAAGGUGUGCUGUGAGGCAUGCUGGAGGUAUCAGAAGUGCGAAUGCUGACAUAAGUAACGAUAAAGCGGGUGAAAAGCCCGCUCGCCGGAAGACCAAGGGUUCCUGUCCAACGUUAAUCGGGGCAGGGUGAGUCGACCCCUAAGGCGAGGCCGAAAGGCGUAGUCGAUGGGAAACAGGUUAAUAUUCCUGUACUUGGUGUUACUGCGAAGGGGGGACGGAGAAGGCUAUGUUGGCCGGGCGACGGUUGUCCCGGUUUAAGCGUGUAGGCUGGUUUUCCAGGCAAAUCCGGAAAAUCAAGGCUGAGGCGUGAUGACGAGGCACUACGGUGCUGAAGCAACAAAUGCCCUGCUUCCAGGAAAAGCCUCUAAGCAUCAGGUAACAUCAAAUCGUACCCCAAACCGACACAGGUGGUCAGGUAGAGAAUACCAAGGCGCUUGAGAGAACUCGGGUGAAGGAACUAGGCAAAAUGGUCGUCGUAACUUCGGGAGAAGGCACGCUGAUAUGUAGGUGAGGUCCCUCGCGGAUGGAGCUGAAAUCAGUCGAAGAUACCAGCUGGCUGCAACUGUUUAUUAAAAACACAGCACUGUGCAAACACGAAAGUGGACGUAUACGGUGUGACGCCUGCCCGGUGCCGGAAGGUUAAUUGAUGGGGUUAGCGCAAGCGAAGCUCUUGAUCGAAGCCCCGGUAAACGGCGGCCGUAACUAUAACGGUCCUAAGGUAGCGAAAUUCCUUGUCGGGUAAGUUCCGACCUGCACGAAUGGCGUAAUGAUGGCCAGGCUGUCUCCACCCGAGACUCAGUGAAAUUGAACUCGCUGUGAAGAUGCAGUGUACCCGCGGCAAGACGGAAAGACCCCGUGAACCUUUACUAUAGCUUGACACUGAACAUUGAGCCUUGAUGUGUAGGAUAGGUGGGAGGCUUUGAAGUGUGGACGCCAGUCUGCAUGGAGCCGACCUUGAAAUACCACCCUUUAAUGUUUGAUGUUCUAACGUUGACCCGUAAUCCGGGUUGCGGACAGUGUCUGGUGGGUAGUUUGACUGGGGCGGUCUCCUCCUAAAGAGUAACGGAGGAGCACGAAGGUUGGCUAAUCCUGGUCGGACAUCAGGAGGUUAGUGCAAUGGCAUAAGCCAGCUUGACUGCGAGCGUGACGGCGCGAGCAGGUGCGAAAGCAGGUCAUAGUGAUCCGGUGGUUCUGAAUGGAAGGGCCAUCGCUCAACGGAUAAAAGGUACUCCGGGGAUAACAGGCUGAUACCGCCCAAGAGUUCAUAUCGACGGCGGUGUUUGGCGCCUCGAUGUCGGCUCAUCACAUCCUGGGGCUGAAGUAGGUCCCAAGGGUAUGGCUGUUCGCCAUUUAAAGUGGUACGCGAGCUGGGUUUAGAACGUCGUGAGACAGUUCGGUCCCUAUCUGCCGUGGGCGCUGGAGAACUGAGGGGGGCUGCUCCUAGUACGAGAGGACCGGAGUGGACGCAUCACUGGUGUUCGGGUUGUCAUGCCAAUGGCACUGCCCGGUAGCUAAAUGCGGAAGAGAUAAGUGCUGAAAGCAUCUAAGCACGAAACUUGCCCCGAGAUGAGUUCUCCCUGACCCUUUAAGGGUCCUGAAGGAACGUUGAAGACGACGACGUUGAUAGGCCGGGUGUGUAAGCGCAGCGAUGCGUUGAGCUAACCGGUACUAAUGAACCGUGAGGCUUAACCUU